ensembl:lncRNA
CCCUUGCAAUAUUGACAUCUUGGCAGUCCUUCUGAUCAUAUAGGUCACACGUGUAAGCUUCCAGAGCCUCACAUAGUUCUGGUGAUGGGGUGAAACUUGUUCCUAGUUCUCUAAACAUAGUGAUGUAUUCUGUUUUUGAAAUUAGUUUUUUGUAUGCUUUUGCUUUCCCAACCUUAUGCAGAGCGCUCACUGUGUCACAUCCAGAAAAGGCAUGCAGACCUACAAGGGCAUCACAUUUGUCUUAGCCAAGAUGGGCAUGUAGCUUGGUAAUGUCAGUAAUGUGUGUGUUUCUCCCCUUGGCUGUAUGGAAAUGGAGGUGGCCAUCAAUGUGGCUGCAGAAAGCUAGAGCCAGCACAAAGACAUCGGUGUCUGGGCUCUUGAUUACCAGGUCAUGGCUGUGUUUGGCUGCAAGGGCUGCAUGCAGUAUCAUUCUGGUGUCUGCCACCUCUUGACUUAUCUCUAGGUCUUUGAGUUCCAGUAUCUCAAGAUGAGCUCCAAUAUUGGAAGAAAUAAUCCAGCGGGUUGAUCUUAUCGAGCAAGAUGUGCAUCAGCUUAGCUUUGAUGGCUCUCUGGUCAAAACCAACAAAGUUGGAAAUUGACUGUGGAAAAGGACCCAAACUGUAAGUGAGCAUUUCAUCGAUGUUAAUUUGCCUAACGCUGCCCACAACAAUUAGCCUUGCAAACAAGUUGCGAUGUGAUGUUAGGGGUUAUGGAAUGAUGCUUCGCCAUUGACGAUCCUUUUUUCACAGAUUUUUCAGUGAGUGCCUUAACACCUCUUUGUUUAGCCCCUAGUAAGUCUGUGGCAACAUUUUCUGAUGCCUGUUGGCCAGAAGAGAUGUGACAAAGAGACUCUCCAUCCAGUAAUGGGUCAAAAGGGUUAACCAUAUUUUGAAUAGUGGCCACAAUGUUCAUCACAUCAGCCUGAUCUCUCUGCAUUCUGGUGUUGUCUAGCUCCGACUUAAGAUGUCCUACCGGGCACUUUCCUGCCAUUGUUUUGCUUUCAAAAGUGAUUGCUGCCCGCUCAUGUUGUGUUAGGGUCCAGCGGUGAUUUGCACCCUUGUUCAGAGAGAACCCACUGAUGCC